UAUUUGUCCAUGAUAUGUAUAUGUCGUGUGUGUGUGUGUGCAUGUGUGUAUAUAUAUAUCAUCAUCUAUAUGGAAAUAAGGAUAACAGUGAAAGGACAGUUAAA
rnacentral:miRNA from 1 species